AAGUCGUAACAAGGUUUCCGUAGGUGAACCUGCGGAAGGAUCAUUACAGAGUUCAUGCCCUUCGGGGUAGACCUCCCACCCUUUGUAUACAUACCAUUGUUGCUUCGGCGGGCACUCGCGUGGCUGGCUUCGGCCGCCGCGCGCCCGCCAAAGGACCCCUAACUCUGAUAUAUUGUGUCGUCUGAGUACUAUAUAAUAGUUAAAACUUUCAACAACGGAUCUCUUGGUUCUG
rnacentral:misc_RNA from 1 species